ACGCUGGCGGCAUGCCUUACACAUGCAAGUCGAACGGCAGCACGGGGGCAACCCUGGUGGCGAGUGGCGAACGGGUGAGUAAAGCAUCGGAACGUGCCCUGGAGUGGGGGAUAACGUAGCGAAAGUUACGCUAAUACCGCAUAUUCUGUGAGCAGGAAAGCAGGGGAUCGCAAGACCUUGCGCUUUGGGAGCGGCCGAUGUCGGAUUAGCUAGUUGGUGGGGUAAAGGCCUACCAAGGCGACGAUCCGUAGCGGGUCUGAGAGGAUGAUCCGCCACACUGGGACUGAGACACGGCCCAGACUCCUACGGGAGGCAGCAGUGGGGAAUUUUGGACAAUGGGCGCAAGCCUGAUCCAGCCAUGCCGCGUGAGUGAAGAAGGCCUUCGGGUUGUAAAGCUCUUUCGGUGGGGAAGAAAUUGCACGGGUUAAUAGCCUGUGUAGAUGACGGUACCUGGAGAAGAAGCACCGGCUA
rnacentral:rRNA from 1 species